UAGUAAAACUCUGUCCUGAACCGACUCGUGUUUUUUGUUCUCUGUUUCAUAAAUAAUUUAAGGUAAAUCCACCAGCUUUCCACCACAUGUUAAGUGGGGACAAGUCAAAACUUGUCUUAAUAUGAUGAAGGAUGUAACACGAUCCUUGUUCCAUACUGUUCAAUGAGACGGUUCUACAAUAGAAUAUGUUUUAAAGAAAGAAGUCACUUAUUUGUCAAUGCUGAAAUGAUUAAAAACUCCCUACGGGCUUACACUAGUAUAUUCACUUACAGGAAGGAUUCAUGAGUCAAAGGAGAAGAAGCCGGUGGACUCUUCGUAUUUGAACAAGUCGCUUAAGCUCUCUGAUCUUGGGUUUCCUUCAUCUUGAAAAAUCGGAAAGUGGCAUCUACUCGGUGGGGUUUUGAGGACUUGCCCAAGGUCAUACAGCCAAGAAGAUGAGCCAGUACAUCCCCACGGUGUUUUCGAGCUGAGAAUUCAAGCCAGGACCUACCUUGCUCACAAAAAGGACAGAUUUCAAGGUGAGCUGUGCCAUCUGGGGCAUUUCAAAAUGUACAUGUUGAACCUGUGAGCGAGAGUCUGUGUGUGGCUGAGAGAGAAAUCUUUGAGGGAGACUUCGGAGAAUGAUAUGCUUGACCCGGCAGCAAUUCUAUGCAAGCAACUGCUCUUCUCUGAGUCGCUGGGUGCGCGUUGAGAGCACCAGCUUCGGAAUGGGACAGGAUUGCCCGCAUGGCAAUCUGGACUCUUUUAUUCGUGUCCUCUGUGACCUUGAAGGAGAAUUUGAGGGAGCUCUUUGGCUACGGAGGCCCAUUCUCGACACCGGAAGACACACCCAAGGUGGCACGGUGUUGAGGAUGUAUAAUAUUGUGUACGGGAGCACUCACUGUACAGAGACCUUACAGUCGCACAGGGGAAAUGAGGUACGCAGGCUGAUAAAUACGAUGCGAGGUGACGUGCCAUAAAGGUGGUGAAACCUUACGGCUAGAUCGUCAAGGUUGUGCGGAGGGAAUGGAGGAAAGAAUCUUGGAACCAUAGCGCCCAGCUCCCUUGCCAUGCAGGUGACGACGGGGACAAGACCACGGUUUCUAGCUCCGACCCAACUCCCACUGUCUGCUCUCCACUGCGUUACCUCUCACGCCCAUUCCGGCUCAAAGUGGCAGUUUUAUUCUAGUUUGGAGGCCGUGGUGAAGUCCUCACGCCUGCCCAAGGUGACAGAACA